UGGGGAAUAUUGGACAAUGGGCGAAAGCCUGAUCCAGCCAUGCCGCGUGAGUGACGAAGGCCUUAGGGUUGUAAAGCUCUUUUGGCGGGGAAGAUAAUGACGGUACCCGCAGAAUAAGCUCCGGCUAACUUCGUGCCAGCAGCCGCGGUAAUACGAAGGGAGCUAGCGUUGUUCGGAAUCACUGGGCGUAAAGCGCACGUAGGCGGAUUUGUCAGUCAGGGGUGAAAUCCCGGGGCUCAACCUCGGAACUGCCUUUGAUACAGCAAGUCUUGAGUUCGAGAGAGGUGGGUGGAAUUCCUAGUGUAGAGGUGAAAUUCGUAGAUAUUAGGAAGAACACCGGUGGCGAAGGCGGCCCACUGGCUCGAUACUGACGCUGAGGUGCGAAAGCGUGGGGAGCAAACA
rnacentral:rRNA from 1 species